AUGGGGCACGGCCGCACGGCCGCACGCAGCGAGCCAGCGAGCGGUCUCCGGACGCCAUUGCUGACGGUUGCAGAAGCUCCCCGUGCGACGAGAAAUUUCCAUGCGUCCAAUUUCCCCGGACCGUGGAGGCGUUGAAUCGUGCGUGAGCCAUUACGUAGCGUCGACAACCCCCACUCAGCUGCCCGCCGUCCCAUCGCCGUCGAAGAGAUCCCCGCCUCUGACUUUCUUGUUUCACUCAGCAUCGUCCCGCACGGGUGGAGAAACUGAAACACCAUCCCAACCAAUCCGGAACCUGAUUCGGUGGUCACCUCCAAUUUCAUCAGUACCGAAUCCCAGGGCCAAUAAGAAUCGCUCCUUUUAAGUUCUCUCCGAGCUUAAUCUGAUCGUGCUGCUCGGGCUCCGAACUUGAGAUUGCGAUUUGAGGAGUUGCGGGAGGGAGAUGGCGCAGAGCAAGGAGGAGUUCUUGGAGCAGUUCGGCGGGGACUACGGCUACCCGGACGCUCCCAGGGGCAUCGACGAGCUGCGCGCCGCCGAUUUCAAGCGGCUGGAAGGGAUGGUUUACCUGGACCAUGCCGGUGCAACACUCUACUCAGAGGCACAGAUGGCGGAUGUUGCCAAAGACCUUAUGUCGAAUGUCUACGGAAAUCCCCAUAGCCAGAGCGAUUCAAGCAUGGCUACAAGCGACCUUGUCACUUCUAUGCGACAUCUGGUCCUAAAAUACUUCAAUGCAUCUCCAAGGGACUAUAAAUGUAUAUUUACCUCCGGGGCCACAGCAGCUCUGAAACUUGUCGGCGAAUGUUUUCCAUGGAGUGGAGAUAGCUGCUACAUGUACACAAUGGAAAAUCAUAAUAGUGUGCUUGGGAUAAGAGAGUAUGCUCUGAGCAAAGGAGCUACUGUAUCAGCAGUUGAUAUUGAAGAGGUUGUUGAUCCAUCAAAGAACCAGGGAUGUGAUAGUUUGUUUAAGAUUUCAAAACGCUCAAACCAAAGAAGAGGUGACGAUGUGCUUUUGCAUAAUUAUCAGAAUGGAAGCCUGACAGCUAUUUCAGGUAAGCACCUUAAAGGAAACAAUUUAAAUCUAUUUGCAUUCCCUUCAGAGUGCAAUUUCUCAGGGCAUAAGUUCAACCUCAGCUUGGUCAAGCUCAUCAAGGAAGGGAAAUUCAUCGGUACAUCACAGCAACAGGGCCGCUGGAUGGUUUUGAUAGAUGCUGCAAAAGGAUGUACAACUGAACCACCAAACUUAACUGUGUAUCCUGCUGAUUUUGUUGUCUGUUCAUUCUACAAGAUAUUUGGCUAUCCAACUGGUCUUGGUGCCUUAAUUGUAAAAAAUGAGGCUGCUGGUUUACUGAACAAGACGUACUUCAGUGGAGGAACGGUGGCUGCUUCAAUUGCUGACAUUGACUAUGUUCAGAAAAGAAAGAGCAUUGAAAAUGUUCUUGAGGAUGGAACAAUCUCAUUCUUGAGCAUAUCCUCUCUUCGAUAUGGGUUUAAGAUAAUCGACAUGCUAACUAUUUCAGCUAUUGCAAGGCAUACUGCAUCUCUUGCUACUUAUGUGAGAAGGAAAAUGAUGGACUUGAAGCACAGCAAUGAGAAAAAUGUUUGCAUAAUCUACGGACAACAAGCUUCUAAGGUGAAAGAUCUGAAGAUGGGUCCUACAAUCACAUUCAAUUUGAAAAGAGAAGAUUGCACCUGGUUUGGAUACCGCGAAGUGGAGAAGCUUGCUUGCUUGUCAGGAAUUCAUCUGCGUACAGGCUGCUUCUGUAACCCUGGUGCAUGUGCUAAGUACCUUGGCUUGUCACACUCAGAUCUAGUUUCUAAUUUUGAGGCUGGGCAUGUUUGCUGGGAUGAUAAUGACAUAAUAAACGGAAGACCAACUGGUGCUGUGAGGAUAUCAUUUGGCUACAUGUCCACAUAUGAAGAUGCAGAGGAAUUUCUUAAGUUUCUGCAGUCAUCUUUUGUGUCCAAAGCUGUAGGAUUGAACAAUGGCUACAUGGUGAAUAUGGAUACUCUUCAUUUAGUAGAUGAUUGGAGCCAACAAGCUACUUCAGAUAUCCGCUUAAAAUCCAUAACUAUAUAUCCUGUGAAAUCUUGCCAAGGAUUUAGUGUGCAGGGUUGGCCACUGACAACUGGUGGUUUAAAAUAUGAUAGAGAAUGGCUUCUCCAAGGAUCAGGUGGUGAAAUUUUGACACAGAAAAAGGUGCCAGAGUUGAGUUCUAUCCGCACAUUGAUUGACCUGGAACUUGGGAAACUCUUCUUAGAGUCUCCAAAGCGCAAGGAUAAAUUGCAAAUAUCUGUUCUAGAGAAUUUGACUCAUAUAAGUGCAGAAGUAGAUGUUUAUGGUCAAAGGUAUGAGGUGCAAACUUACGGUGACAAGGUAAACUCCUGGUUCAGUGAUGCUAUUGGACGUCCUUGUACCUUUAUGAGAUGCACAAGCUCCAAGCACCGUUCCUGCACAAUUAACGGCAGGAGAGAUCGCCUAUGUAGAGAUACUCGAAGCAAACUUAGUUUUGUCAACGAAGGACAGCUGCUACUUGUUUCCGAAGAGAGCAUAUCUGAUCUCAACAGCCGGUUAAGUUCAGGUAAUGUAAAUGGUAAGCAACAGAUGUUUGUUGACGCAAUGAGGUUUCGUCCAAAUAUUGUUGUCUCUGGGUCUGCAUCAUACGAUGAGGAUAACUGGAAAAGGCUUAACAUUGGGAAGGCGUAUUUUACUAGGCACACUAGACAUUGACGAUUCGCUGAUGUAUUAUGUACAAUGCACACUAAUUCUACUUUUGUCAAUAGUGAAAAUGUAAAAGGUCUAUGGGAGGAUGCAACCGUUGUCAAAUGAUCAACCUAUAUCAGAGCUCAGGGCAGGUGAUCAAGUCAAAAGAACCACUGGCAACUUUAGCAUCAUAUAGACGACAAAAGGGUAAAAUUUUGUUUGGCAUCCUGCUGAACUAUGAAGACAGUAUGUAUGAAGAAGAUGAUGCCGUUGUAGAGAGAUGGAUUAAAGUAGGGCAAGAGGUGUAUCCUUCUACAGAAUGACGUGGGCAGAGAUUAGCACAAAGGUUUCACUUGCACAAGAAGCGGAAUGGUAUAGGCAUUCGGAAUGUAUAGAGUUCUUUUAAAAAAAAGAAUGUAUAGAGACUCUCAGGUAUACCAUGUAUGUAAUAAUUUCCUUUUUUUUCAUGCCUGUAUGUAACACAAAAGGGCUUGAAGCCUGUGUUCCAAUCCAAAAAAAUAUAGAGGGAAAAUGAAUGAAUAUAAUACGAAAGAAAAAAAUGUAUAUCCAGAAAUGGUUCA